CGUCAAGCCAUACUGGUAUUAACAAUAUGGCAUUUCUUCCCUGCUAACAGUGCUUUACGAUCUUACGACCUUCAUCACACACGCGGCGUCGCUCGGUCAGGGUUUCCCCCAUUGCCGAAGCCUCUCG
rnacentral:rRNA from 1 species